UACAGUGCUGCUCAUGAGUAUAGAAACGCCUGCUUAAGUUGACUAAAAAGAGGAAUAAAACAAGUCAUCUUUUGGAAAUUGAUCUUAAUGCCCUAAUUAAAAAAUGAGGAAAACACUUUAAGGACACCAGGCAUGUUGGCCACCA